rnacentral:rRNA from 1 species
GAUCCAGACUUUGAUUAUGGCUCAGGAUGAACGCUAGCUACAGGCUUAACACAUGCAAGUCGAGGGGCAGCAUGACGAUAGCUUGCUAUUGUUGAUGGCGACCGGCGCACGGGUGAGUAACGCGUAUCCAACCUGCCCUUGUCCAUCGGAUAACCCGUCGAAAGGCGGCCUAACACGAUAUGCAGUCCACAGAAGGCAUCUGACGCGGACGAAAUGUAAAGGAGAAGGAUGGGGAUGCGUCUGAUUAGCUUGUUGGCGGGGUAACGGCCCACCAAGGCGACGAUCAGUAGGGGUUCUGAGAGGAAGGUCCCCCGCAUUGGAACUGAGACACGGUCCAAACUCCUACGGGAGGCAGCAGUGAGGAAUAUUGGUCAAUGGGCGAGAGCCUGAACCAGCCAAGUAGCGUGCAGGAUGACGGCCCUAUGGGUUGUAAACUGCUUUUAUGCGGGGAUAAAGUGAGCCACGUGUGGCUUAUUGCAGGUACCGCAUGAAUAAGGACCGGCUAAUUCCGUGCCAGCAGCCGCGGUAAUACGGAAGGUCCGGGCGUUAUCCGGAUUUAUUGGGUUUAAAGGGAGCGUAGGCCGUCUGAUAAGCGUGUUGUGAAAUGUCGGGGCUCAACCUGGGCAUUGCAGCGCGAACUGUCAGACUUGAGUGCGCGGGAAGUAGGCGGAAUUCGUCGUGUAGCGGUGAAAUGCUUAGAUAUGACGAAGAACUCCGAUUGCGAAGGCAGCCUGCUGUAGCGCAACUGACGCUGAAGCUCGAAAGCGUGGGUAUCGAACAGGAUUAGAUACCCUGGUAGUCCACGCGGUAAACGAUGGAUGCUCGCUGUUUGCGUCUGACGUAAGCGGCCAAGCGAAAGCGUUAAGC